rnacentral:lncRNA from 1 species
AACUAACUCCUUUUCUUUGGCUUCCAAUGACUGCUGUAAUUCUUUGCGUUCUUCAAGGUAUGGUUUAGAAACCGAUUCCCUCAAAUCUUUCAAUUCCUGCAAGACAAAGGAAAGCUCACUGAGCCAGGUGUUGCUGUAAUUCUUUGAGUUCUUCAAGGUAUGGUUUAGAAACCGAUUCCCUCAAUUCUUUCAUUUCCUGCAAGACAAAGGAAAGCUCACUGAGACAGGUGGAGGGAUAGAAUCUGUCAACCAAUAAGUAAUGGGACAAAAACCAUAAGACAACACAAGAAACAGGAGUCAAUCAGGGAAGAC